rnacentral:rRNA from 1 species
ACAUACGACCAUAGGCGGUAUAAAACUCGGGAUCCCGUCCGCUCUCCCCUCGAUAAAAUGCCGACCGCUGGAUCAGUAGUUGGGUCGGUGACGACCAGCGAAUCCCCAGUGUUGUAUGUU